rnacentral:rRNA from 1 species
GCGCGAAAACUUCGCAAUGUGCGAAAGCACGACGAGGGAAUCCCAAGUGCUGGCUCGUUAGAGUCAGCUGUUUCUCUGUCUAAAAAACAGAGAGAGUAAGGGCUGGGUAAGACGGGUGCCAGCCGCCGCGGUAAUACCUGCAGCUCAAGUGGUGGCCGCUAUUAUUGGGCCUAAAACGUCCGUAGCCUGUUUAUUAAAUGCCUAGGUAAAUUGUGUGGCUUAACCAUACGAAUUCUGGGUAGACUGGUAAACUUGAGAUCGGGAGAAGCUAGAGGUACUCCUGGGGUAGAGGUGAAAUUCUGUAAUCCUAGGGGGACCACCAGUGGCGAAGGCGUCUAGCUAGAACGAGUUUGACGGUGAGGGACGAAGCCCUGGGGCGCAAACGGGAUUAGAUACCCCGGUAGUCCAGGGUGUAAACGCUGCUUGCUUGAUGUUAGUCGGGCUCCGAGCCCGAUUAGUGUCGGAGAGAAGUUGUUAAGCAAGCUGCCUGGGAAUACGGUCGCAAGACUGAAACUUAAAGGAAUUGGCGGGGGAGCAACCG